CGCGCGUUCCCAUUUUGUUGGUUUCUGAGAUCGCCGUAAUGAUUAAUAGGGAUAGUUGGGGGCAUUUGUAUUCCGUCGUCAGAGGUGAAAUUCUUGGAUUGCCGGAAGACAAACUACUGCGAAAGCAUUUGCCAAGGAUGUUUUCAUUGAUCAAGAACGAAGGAAGGGGGAUCGAAAACGAUCAGAUACCGUUGUAGUCUCUUCUGUAAACUAUGCCAAUUGGGGAUUAGCACAGGAUUUUCAAUGACUGUGUUAGCACCCGAAGAGAAAUCUUUAAAUGAGGUUCGGGGGGGAGUAUGGUCGCAAGGCUGAAACUUAAAGGAAUUGACGGAAGGGCACCACCAGGUGUGGAGCCUGCGGCUUAAUUUGACUCAACACGGGGAAACUCAC
rnacentral:rRNA from 1 species